rnacentral:rRNA from 1 species
CCUACGGGCGGCAGCAGUGGGGAAUAUUGGACAAUGGGCGAAAGCCUGAUCCAGCCAUGCCGCGUGUGUGAAGAAGGCCUUCGGGUUGUAAAGCACUUUCAGUGGGGAAGAAAGCCUUGGGGCUAAUACCCUCGAGGAAGGACAUCACCCACAGAAGAAGCACCGGCUAACUCCGUGCCAGCAGCCGCGGUAAUACGGAGGGUGCGAGCGUUAAUCGGAAUUACUGGGCGUAAAGCGCGCGUAGGCGGUCUGAUAAGCCGGUUGUGAAAGCCCCGGGCUCAACCUGGGAACGGCAUCCGGAACUGUCAGGCUAGAGUGCAGGAGAGGAAGGUAGAAUUCCCGGUGUAGCGGUGAAAUGCGUAGAGAUCGGGAGGAAUACCAGUGGCGAAGGCGGCCUUCUGGACUGACACUGACGCUGAGGUGCGAAAGCGUGGGUAGCAAACAGGAUUAGAUACCCUAGUC